ACGCAGUACAUGAGCUGUAGCACUUAUGGCCCUUGGACAGCUCUCUCGGGCUCUUUCCAAGCUCUCCCCUAUGUUGUGAGUAGCUGGUCUUCCGGGUCAGAGCUACGUUCAUCUCCCAGCCAGGCAGGUCAGAUAGCAGUCACCCUUCCUUGCGUCCACUUCAUCUACCGCAAAUGGCUGGCGUUAGGGCAACACAGACAUUCCCCUCUCCUUCUGGUGCUCUUGCGGUUUUCUUUUGGGGUUUUCAUGUCAUUCUAUGGCAGAAGGAGCCACAGAUGGGAAGAACCGGCACGGGUCGCACAGCAUCCUCCCUCUUACCAUGUUCCUCUCUCUUCCGCCUCACAUGCAGUGUGCACUUCUAUUUGCUCCUCACCACACAGUGGUUAGCUCACAUGUCACCUACAUGCUUACCUUCUCUCUUACCGACACACAGCCUGUCUUUCCCUCCAUGACCUGUCCUCUGUUUCUCUAGGUCUCCUGUUGCAUGCUGGCCUUGGGACUAUUUACCAAUAACCUGUACUGCCUCUGUGUGUGAGAGACAGCUUUCUGAGACAUACAAAGGGGUCGCCAGGCUGUCCAGGCGUGUACCUCACUGGGAAAUGGUGUUGAAUCGGAGUUUGAGAAGAGAGGAGU
rnacentral:lncRNA from 1 species